rnacentral:rRNA from 1 species
CGCGAGUCAUUGGGUCAUGAAACCCAAAGGCGAAAUGAAAGUGAAGGGAACUUUACGUUUCUGAGGGAUGAUGAGUCGGUUACCCGCAAGGGGCUGCUCCGCACUCCCGGGGCGUCUCUUUCUCAUUGCGAGUGGAGGCGCACCUAGAGCGUACACGCUGAUACCCGAAAGAUGGUGAACUAUGCCUGGCCAGGACGAAGCCAGGGGAAACCCUGGUGGAGGUCCGCAGCGAUUCUGACGUGCAAAUCGAUCGUCGGAGCUGGGUAUAGGGGCGAAAGACCAAUCGAACCAUCUAGUAGCUGGUUCCCUCCGAAGUUUCCCUCAGGAUAGCUUGCGCUCAUGCGAAAGAGUCUCAUCCGGUAGAGCGAAUGAUUAGAGGCCUUGGGGUCGAAACGACCUCAACCUAUUCUCAAACUCCAAAUAGAUGAGAACUCCGGCUUUCUUGAACUUUGUUUUUGAAGCCGGGGGCUCGGAUCAGAGUGCCAAGUGGGCCAAUUUUGGUAAGCAGAACUGGCGCUGUGGGAUGAACCAAACGUCGAGUUAAGGCGCCUAAAUCGACGCUCAUGUGAAACCAUGAAAGGCGUUGGUUGCUUAAGACAGCAGGACGGUGGCCAUGGAAGUCGGAAUCCGCUAAGGAGUGUGUAACAACUCACCUGCCGAAGCAACUAGCCCUGAAAAUGGAUGGCGCUGUAGCGUCGUGCCUAUACUCGACCGUCAACGGCAAAGAUGACUGGCGGGCAACUGUCGGUCGUUAAGCCUUGACGAGUAGGAGGGCCGCGGCGACGUGCGUAGAAGGGUCUGGGCGUGAGCCUGCCUGGAGCCGUCGUCGGUGCAGAUCUUGGUGGUAGUAGCAAAUACUCCAGCGAGGCCCUGGAGGACUGAUGUGGAGAAGGGUUUCUUGUGAACAGCUGUUGCACAAGAGUCAGUCGGUCCUAAGCCCUAGGAGAAAUCCGAAGCGAUGGGUUGCCGUGAAUUUAAAGAAAGCACCAUUGUGUAUUAAAAWAGCUGGCACCCGUUUGGGCGAAAGGGAAUCCGGUUCCUAUUCCGGAACCUGGCAGUGGAACCGUUCCAAUUCGGGCCCUCUGAGGACUCGUCAGGGCAACCUGAAUAGUCCCGGAGACGCCGACAGGAGAUUGGGGGAGAGUUGUCUCUUCUCUAUAAGCGAUCGAGUUCCCUGGAAACUUCUAGCAAGGAGAUAGGGUUUGGAUCGCGAAGAGCACUGCAGUUACGGCAGUGUCCCAAUCUUCCUCUCGGACCUUGAAAAUCCGGGUGAGGGCCACGAGGAACCCCACGCCAGACCGUACCCAUAUCCGCAGCAGGUCUCCAAG